rnacentral:ncRNA from 1 species
UGAAAACCGAUAAGGAAAAAAGUAGUCGAUAACCAUAUAGCCAGAGAGAAAGUGCCAGUGGCUGAAAGCACUUUUCUAUUGAUGCAUUGAUGAAAGACAUUUCCUAGGUGCCAUGUCGAACCCUCAGAAGUAGGCAUGGACGAAAGAUCUGCGUUAAGGAUCCUAAAGUGGAAGUAGUUAAACUUCAAUGAGGGUGGCACCGCGGGAAGUCCCGUCCCUUUU